GACGUCAAAAGCUACGGUAGCCUAUACACUGAGGGAAAGAGGGGUAGCGCGGGAGGGAAUCGUUAGAUAUUAAUAAGUAUAUUUUAAUAUAUGUGUUAGCCCUUAAAUGUCUAUAUAAAUGGACAACUGGAUUUAUCAAUAGCUGGCUGCUGCAGAAAUAGUUCUUAAGAAUAUAGCCUUGUAGCCUAAUUAUUGCAGAAAUUUGACUAUUCUAACAGUACUCAGAGACUGACUGACUGGCUUUACCGGAUUUGCCAAGAGUCGUGACGAGAGGAUAGAGCAAAUAACGGAUCACCAAGGCACCGGGUUGGGGAAAUGUGAUCUGAUGAUCGCUUGCCAAGACGUGAGACCUUAACAGGAGCAGCAACUCCACUGAUCUGUUACGGAUUCAAAACCGGGAGAGGGAGCGAUUGGCACAAAGAGCGGAGAACGAAUCGCAUUGAGCCUCCUAUUCCCCGAGGGAGGAUAACAGGAGACGCGCACUGAAGACAACAACACCACGGCAAAACGUGGAAAAAUAAACAAAAUAAUCUCAAAUUACUUUGGGGAUUAUUUUACAACGUGGAGUGAAGGAUCUCUUGAAAUCGGUAGGAUUUUUAAGACCAAGGCUCCAUAUUGUGUUUUUGUGCGCAUGUGUUUUGUGUGUGUUUUGUGUGUAUGUUGAGCCGGGGCGGACAAAGAGAUGAGCCCCCAUACGUUGACAUCCAAUGAGUGUAUGUAACCUACAGCUGGCCAAACAAAGAAACCGCUCACAGCCGCUCUACAGCGCUCAUCUACCGUACAAACUAUAUAUUUUCCUUUCCCCAGGGGCUCCGAACACUCUCACGUCCUAAAGCUCUGGUCGCUCCUCUCCAGAGGACCACGACUCUGCUCGCACUCACCCCGCUCUUCUCACCUCGAACCCCGCAGAGCGCCUGUCGUUCUCCCCGCUGUGUCCCGAUGAAGGAAGCCGACGCGAUCAAGCUGUUCGUGGGGCAGAUUCCUCGGAAUCUAGAGGAGAAGGACCUCAAACCGAUCUUUGAACAGUUCGGGAAGAUCUACGAGCUGACGGUGAUAAAGGACAAAUACACCGGCAUGCACAAAGGAUGUGCAUUCCUGACAUACUGUGCGAGGGAGUCAGCGCUGAAGGCCCAGAGUGCUUUGCAUGAGCAGAAGACGCUACCGGGGAUGAACCGACCCAUCCAGGUAAAACCAGCCGACAGCGAGGGGAGAGGAGAAGACAGGAAGUUGUUUGUGGGCAUGCUGGGUAAACAGCAGAGUGAUGAAGACGUCAAGAGGCUGUUUGAGCCCUUUGGUACUAUAGACGAGUGUACUGUACUACGGGGGCCAGAUGGCACCAGUAAAGGUUGUGCGUUUGUGAAGUACCAGGGACAUGCUGAAGCUCAGGCUGCCAUUAGCACCCUGCAUGGGAGCCGCACACUGCCUGGUGCGUCGUCCAGUCUGGUGGUGAAGUUUGCGGACACAGAGAAGGAGAGAGGGCUGAGACGGAUGCAGCAGGUGGCAUCACAGCUGGGCAUCUUCAGCCCCACCAUGACACUUAACUUCCCUGCUUACAACGCUUACACACAGGCCGUCAGCGCACAGGCGAUUGUCCAGCAGCAAGCUCUUGUUGCUCAGUCAGCGUACCUGUCUCCCGUAGCAACUGUUGCCAGUUUACAGAUGCAGCAGAUGGCAGCGCUCAACGCAAACGGAAUCAUCGCCACGCCCAUCACAUCUUCCUCUGAGUCUAGUAGCUGUCAAUCACAAUAUCUCCUCCACUGUGAUUGGUCCUCCCGGUUUGCAGGUACGAAUACCCCUCCAACCAUCUCAGCCACGCCCGUGCCAUCACUACCUCCACCUCUAGGAGUCAAUGGUUACAGUCCACCAACCAAUGGACAGCAAGCAUCGGAAGCACUAUACACCAAUGGCAUUCAUGCGUACCAAGCCCAGAGUCCAGCAUUAUCUCUAGACCCUCUCCAGCAGGCGUAUGCAGGCAUGCAGCACUACACAGCGGCGUACCCUGCUGCCUAUGGAUUGGUCGGCCAGCAUUUUCCACAGCAACCUACCCUGGUUGCCCAGCAACACCAGCAGCCCCAGCAACAGCAGCAGCGAGAAGGGCCAGAGGGUUGUAAUAUCUUUAUCUACCACCUGCCUCAGGAGUUCAGUGACAGUGAGAUGCUCCAGAUGUUUCUGCCCUUUGGAAACGUCAUCUCAGCUAAAGUCUUUGUAGACCGCGCCACCAACCAGAGCAAGUGCUUCGGUUUUGUGAGUUUUGACAACCCAUCCAGUGCCCAGACUGCCAUCCAGGCUAUGAAUGGGUUCCAGAUCGGCAUGAAGAGACUCAAGGUGCAGCUGAAACGACCUAAAGACGCCAACCGCCCCUACUGAAGGAGAGAGGAGAGAGAGAUCCUCCCGUCCAAUCAUAAUUCGCGGGGAUCCCAUCACUAUGGUUACCUAGCGACCGAUAAAGCCCCGACCCCCCUUCCUCUCACGUGUUGUGAAGUUUUCUGACUCCGCCUGUGGUGGAAUCCCAGCGUGCAUUGCGCCCUCAGACCUACUACCUUUCUUUUGAGCGACGGGGAACAGGACACACACACACAGACCACUCACACUUUGCACUCUAAAAGGACCAAGGCACAGAUAUUGACCAAUGUACAUAUCAUAGUCCUCACACACACAAACACACACAUGCUUUCAAAUACAUAUAUGUCAGUAAUCGUACCCAUUGAACUGGACUCAGUUUGAAAAUAGUUUGUGAGGAGUUUGUCUGGAGUGUGUAGGGCAGUGAAGAUCACACACACACACACGACCCAGGAAGUACUUACUAAAGUCAUUGAUGAAAUGAUGAAUAAUGGUGAUAUAUCACUUCUUUGGACCAUAACAUGUCAUAUAACAUGGCUAUUACAUGUGUAUAACAUGAUACAAAUAGGAAGGCCUCCAUUUCGUAAUAAAAAAAGGAAAACAGGAAAAAAUAUUGCGACAAAAUGAGUAGUUUAGAGAAACUUUGGAGAGAGAUCCUUAUGGCCUGUAAAUAAUUUAGUUUAAGAAGAGUAACAUUCCAAAAAAACGCAAAAAGAAGAGUACUUUAGAUAAAUCACUGAAAAAUUACACAAUAUUAUUAUUAUUGUUAUUAUUAUUAUCUUCGUUAGGGGAUAUUGUAUUAGAAAUAAAGAAAGGGGAGAAUCACAAACAUAUUUUCAAUUUCUACUUAGAUUUUAGGAUACAUGUGGGUGGGAGGGACUGCACCUUUUCUGAGAGGUUUUAAUAUUUUAACAAUUUUUUAUUUAUUGACUAAUUUAUCAAUUAUUUUUGUUAAUAGGGAGAAAUGAUGAAGGGUUUAAAGGGGUUACGAGUUUCUGAUUUUAGAAUUUUUUAGAGCAAAAAAGGGUCUGUUUCUGUCAGACUCGGUCAGAGUAAUUAUAAUUAUGAAUGAAUUAUUACAACAAUGAUAUUUAUUUCUUAUUUAUUGAGUCUGUUUUUGAUCCAAUCUCUUUUUAAGUUAAAAUAAAAAGUAUUAUACAUCAAA